rnacentral:piRNA from 1 species
UGCAUCCGGCCCCUUCAUUGAGAUGC